rnacentral:rRNA from 1 species
GGCGGACGGGUGAGUAACACGUGGGUAACCUGCCUGUAAGAUUGGGAUAACUCCGGGAAACCGGAGCUAAUACCGGAUAAUAUUUUGAACCGCAUGGUUCAAAAUUGAAAGAUGGUUUCGGCUAUCACUUACAGAUGGACCCGCGGCGCAUUAGCUAGUUGGUGAGGUAACGGCUCACCAAGGCAACGAUGCGUAGCCGACCUGAGAGGGUGAUCGGCCACACUGGGACUGAGACACGGCCCAGACUCCUACGGGAGGCAGCAGUAGGGAAUCUUCCGCAAUGGACGAAAGUCUGACGGAGCAACGCCGCGUGAACGAUGAAGGCCUUCGGGUCGUAAAGUUCUGUUGUUAGGGAAGAACAAGUACCAGAGUAACUGCUGGUACCUUGACGGUACCUAACCAGAAAGCCACGGCUAACUACGUGCCAGCAGCCGCGGUAAUACGUAGGUGGCAAGCGUUGUCCGGAAUUAUUGGGCGUAAAGCGCGCGCAGGUGGUUUCUUAAGUCUGAUGUGAAAGCCCACGGCUCAACCGUGGAGGGUCAUUGGAAACUGGGGAACUUGAGUGCAGAAGAGGAAAGUGGAAUUCCAAGUGUAGCGGUGAAAUGCGUAGAGAUUUGGAGGAACACCAGUGGCGAAGGCGACU